rnacentral:rRNA from 1 species
GCAUAUCAAUAAGCGGAGGAAAAGAAACUAACAAGGAUUCCCCUAGUAACGGCGAGUGAAGCGGGAAGAGCUCAAAUUUGUAAUCUGGCACCUUCGGUGUCCGAGUUGUAAUCUCGAGAAGUGUUUUCCGCGCCGGACCGCAUACAAGUCUGUUGGAAUACAGCGUCAUAGUGGUGAGAACCCCGUAACUGAUGCGGAUGCCCGGUGCUUUGUGAUACACUUUCGAAGAGUCGAGUUGUUUGGGAAUGCAGCUCAAAUUGGGUGGUAAAUUCCAUCUAAAGCUAAAUAUUGGCGAGAGACCGAUAGCGAACAAGUACCGUGAGGGAAAGAUGAAAAGCACUUUGGAAAGAGAGUUAACAGUACGUGAAAUUGUUGGAAGGGAAACGCUUGAAGUCAGACUUGCUAUUUGGAAUUCAGCCGCAAGGUGUACUUUUCAAUUCGCAGGCCAGCAUCAGUUUUCGGGGGUGGAAAAGGGUAGAGAGAAGGUAGCAAUUUCGGUUGUGUUAUAGCUCUUUGCUGGAUUCAUCCUUGGGGACUGAGGAACGCAGCACGCUUUUUGCAAGGCUUUCGAGCUUUUCGUGCUUAGGAUGCUGGUGGAAUGGCUUUAAACGACCCGUCUUGAAACACGGACCAAGGAGUCUAACAUGCUUGCGAGUGUUU